rnacentral:tRNA from 1 species
GGAAUGUAGCUCAGUGGUAAAGUACUUGCCUGGCAUGUGCAAGGCUCUGGGUUUGAUCCCUAGCACCA